GACGAACGCUGGCGGCGUGCCUAAUACAUGCAAGUAGAACGCUGAAGCUUGGUGCUUGCACCGAGCGGAAGAGUUGCGAACGGGUGAGUAACGCGUAGGUAACCUGCCUGGUAGCGGGGGAUAACUAUUGGAAACGAUAGCUAAUACCGCAUGAUAUUGAUUAUUGCAUGAUAGUCAAUUAAAAGGUGCAAUUGCAUCACUACCAGAUGGACCUGCGUUGUAUUAGCUAGUUGGUGAGGUAACGGCUCACCAAGGCAACGAUACAUAGCCGACCUGAGAGGGUGAUCGGCCACACUGGGACUGAGACACGGCCCAGACUCCUACGGGAGGCAGCAGUAGGGAAUCUUCGGCAAUGGACGGAAGUCUGACCGAGCAACGCCGCGUGAGUGAAGAAGGUUUUCGGAUCGUAAAGCUCUGUUGUAAGAGAAGAACGAGUGUGAGAGUGGAAAGUUCACACUGUGACGGUAUCUUACCAGAAAGGGACGGCUAACUACGUGCCAGCGGCCGCGGUAAUACGUAGGUCCCGAGCGUUGUCCGGAUUUAUUGGGCGUAAAGCGAGCGCAGGCGGUUAGAUAAGUCUGAAGUUAAAGGCUGUGGCUUAACCAUAGUACGCUUUGGAAACUGUUUAACUUGAGUGCAAGAGGGGAGAGUGGAAUUCCAUGUGUAGCGGUGAAAUGCGUAGAUAUAUGGAGGAACACCGGUGGCGAAAGCGGCUCUCUGGCUUGUAACUGACGCUGAGGCUCGAAAGCGUGGGGAGCAAACAGG
rnacentral:rRNA from 1 species